rnacentral:rRNA from 1 species
AGUGAACGCUGGCGGUAGGCCUAACACAUGCAAGUCGAACGGCAGCACCGUAAGAGCUUGCUCUUACGGGUGGCGAGUGGCGGACGGGUGAGGAAUACAUCGGAAUCUACUUUUUCGUGGGGGAUAACGUAGGGAAACUUACGCUAAUACCGCAUACGACCUACGGGUGAAAGCAGGGGAUCUUCGGACCUUGCGCGAUUGAAUGAGCCGAUGUCGGAUUAGCUAGUUGGCGGGGUAAAGGCCCACCAAGGCGACGAUCCGUAGCUGGUCUGAGAGGAUGGUCAGCCACACUGGAACUGAGACACGGUCCAGAGUCCUACGGGAGGCAGCAGUGGGGAAUAUUAGACAAUGGGCGCAAGCCUGAUCCAGCCAUACCGCGUGGGUGAAGAAGGCCUUCGGGUUGUAAAGCCCUUUUGUUGGGAAAGAAAAGCAGCAGGUUAAUACCCCGCUGUUCUGACGGUACCCAAAGAAUAAGCACCGGCUAACUUCGUG